CCAGACAUUUGGAAGAUUUACUAUUCCACUUAGGGCUUUCUGGGGUUUUUUACAUUUAGUAUUUAGAAACAAUGAGCUAGAAAGAGCAGAGUAACAGACGAAGCCGGAUGAAGAGAGACCAGCCAGAACAAUGGCUGCACCUGGUGCUGGGAGCAGAGGGACAGAGCCGGCACGCGCCCGCCGGCAGCAGAGGGCACAUCUGUCACCCUCCAAGUGGCCCAUCCCCCAGCUCUUCCAGCCGGCUAUGUGAAUCAUCAAUUUCAAGUACCCUUCCAUGUACCCACAAUAUAAUCUAAGAAUGAUAACCAGCUAAUCUCCAGCCAAUGAAGAUAGAGGAGAUACGUGGAUUUCCAUUCACAUUCCACACCAAAAUGAAGAGACUAACCUUACCUGAACUGCUUCUAAACACUUGACCUCUCAACAGCCAUGAUUCUGCCACCUUUAGUAUUCUCAGCACUGGACCUUAUUCCUGACUUCUACCACCACCUAAAUUCAAAAUUAUUAGGCAUUAAACUAAUCAAAGUUAUUCAGGGUACUGUAGGAAAGGCUAGGUGUCAGUUGGUGACUGUUUCCAGACCCAGAUUUCCUGGUGCCAGCAAAUUACUCUUUCCAGUGUCCUACAGUACACCUAAAACUCUAGCUCUCAUCAAUGUUCAAACUGCUUUAAUGACUUACUAGAACCAAAGGCAUUAAGCUAGUAUCUCCUACCUGCACAUCUCCAGGGGUUACUUUUCACAUUAUAGAGCACAAGUCCAGAAUACAACGUGAAUGCUAAUCAAGAAUACUGGCCACUAUAUGUCAGUUGGAUAUUUCAACAAGUAUCCUUGAAAAAUUAGCAAACCAAAUUCAAAAACACAUGAAAAGGAUCAUUCACCAUAACCAAGAGGAAUUUAUUCCAGGGAUGCAGUGAUAGUCUGAAACCUUCAAAUCGAUCAAUGUGACUCACAUUAACAAAAUGAAGGGUAAUCUAUGAUUAUCUCAAUAGCUGCAGGAAAAGCAUUUGACAAAAUUCAACAUCCACUCGUGACAAAAACUCUCAACAAAGCAGGUACAAAGGGAACAUAAUGCAACAUAAUAAAGGCCAUAUAUGACAAAUUCACAGUUAACAUACUCAAUGGUGCAAGGCUGAAAGCUUUUCCUCUAAGAUCAGGAACAAGACAGGGAUGUCCACUCUCACCACUUUUAUUCAACAUAGUACUGGACGUAUUAGCCAUA